UGGGGAAUAUUGCACAAUGGGCGCAAGCCUGAUGCAGCCAUGCCGCGUGUAUGAAGAAGGCCUUCGGGUUGUAAAGUACUUUCGGCGGGGAGGAAGGCGAUAAGGUUAAUAACCUUGUCGAUUGACGUUACCCGCAGAAGAAGCACCGGCUAACUCCGUGCCAGCAGCCGCGGUAAUACGGAGGGGGCAAGCGUUAAUCGGAAUUACUGGGCGUAAAGCGCACGCAGGCGGUCUGUCAAGUCGGAUGUGAAAUCCCCGGGCUCAACCUGGGAACUGCAUUCGAAACUGGCAGGCUAGAGUCUUGUAGAGGGGGGUAGAAUUCCAGGUGUAGCGGUGAAAUGCGUAGAGAUCUGGAGGAAUACCGGUGGCGAAGGCGGCCCCCUGGACAAAGACUGACGCUCAGGUGCGAAAGCGUGGGGAGCAAACA
rnacentral:rRNA from 1 species